rnacentral:tRNA from 1 species
GACGCUACGGACUUAAUCCGUUGGUUUUAUAGAUCGUGAGGGUUCGAGUCCCUCUAUCCCCA